rnacentral:rRNA from 1 species
UACGAAGGGGGCGAGCGUUGUUCGGAAUUACUGGGCGUAAAGGGCGCGUAGGCGGCGUGACAAGUCACUUGUGAAAUCUCCGGGCUUAACCCGGAGCGGCCAAGUGAUACUGUCGUGCUAGAGUGCGGAAGGGGCUACUGGAAUUCUCGGUGUAGCGGUGAAAUGCGUAGAUAUCGAGAGGAACACCUGCGGCGAAGGCGGGUAGCUGGGCCGACACUGACGCUGAGGCGCGAAAGCCAGGGGAGCGAACGGG